AUUGAACGCUGGCGGCAGGCCUAACACAUGCAAGUCGAGCGAGCGGCGGACGGGUGAGUAAUGUAUGGGGAUCUGCCCGAUAUGGGGGGAUAACUACUGGAAACGGUAGCUAAUACCGCAUACCAUCGGAUGUGCCCAGAUGGGAUUAUCUAUUAGGUGGGGUAAAGGGUCACCUAGGCGACGAUCCCUAGCGGGUCUGAGAGGAUGACCAGCCACACUGGAACUGAGACACGGGCCAGACUCCUACGGGAGGCAGCAGUGGGGAAUAUUGCACAAUGGGCGCAAGCCGGAUGCAGCCAUGCCGCGUGGAUGAAGAAGGCCUUCGGGUUGUAAAGUACUUUCAGCGAGGAGGCGUUACCCGCAGAAGAAGCACCGGCUAACUCCGUGCCAGCCGCCGCGGUAAUAC
rnacentral:rRNA from 1 species